rnacentral:tRNA from 1 species
ACUUAAUAGCUCAGUGGUAGAGCGUUUGCCUCGUAAGAAAGGUCGAUAGUUCAACUCUCUCAUAGUG